UGCGCAUAGCCAACCUAAUAACAAUGUAGAACAAGAGGAUGAUACUUACCUUCGCAACCCAAGACCUGAGAAUGAGCACGUUGGUGUUGAUGAGGAGAAUAUGUAUGAAGUGGAUGAACCUAUUCCCUUAAAUGUGGUUCUUUGUCCUAAUAAAGAAAAGGACAAAGACUAUAUUUGCGAGGAUGGUAGCGAGGUUGAGAGUGAAGUAGAGGAUGAUGAAGUAGAGGAGGUUGAAGUAGAGGAGGAUGAGGAGUUGCAUGAAGCAGAUCAUACUCCACAUGUAGAGUAUUACAAAUUAGACCCUCCAAUGACAAAAGGCUUUACAUAUCCCAGCAUGAAAGAGUUCAAGUUGGCACUUUCUCAGCAUGCAAUCAAACGUGAAUUUGAGUAUAACACCGAGUAUAGUACCCGUCAUCAGUUUAGGGGCUAUUGUUCAAGACGGGAUGCAGAUAAUUGUCCCUGGAGGAUACAUGCUUCUACGACAGAAGAUAAGUGUACUGUGAUGGUGAGGAAAAACCCAUGUGGUCAUGAUUGCUCUAGUACAAGAAGGAAAAAUAAGACGAAGAAUGGAACCAAGCAUUGGGUAUGUGAUAAGGUGAAGGAUUGGCUGAUUGAAAAUGCAACUCUCGGAGCGAAGGCAUUGUAGAAGAAGAUUAAAGAACACCACAAGGUUGACCUCCACUACAAGAGAGUAUAUAUGGGUAAGAAGCUAGCUCUGAAAGAAUUGUAUGGUGAUUGGGAUAGCAGCUUUGACAAUUUGUAUAGGUUUAAAGCACAAGUUGAAACCACUUGCCCUGGUAUCAUAGUUCAGAUUGAUCAUUACACUAUAAAUGGAAAAAUCAGGUUUAGAAGGUUCUUCUUUUCUUUGAAACCUUGCAUAGACAGAUUCCUUGGUGGUUGCAGGCCAUAUUUGGCAGUAGAUAGCACAUUCUUAACAAGCAGGUUCAAGGGGCAGCUGGCUAGUGCUACCGCUGUAGACGGCCAUAAUUGGAUGUAUCCACUUUGUUUUGGAAUUUUUGAUUCCAAAACAAAUGAGAACUGGAUUUGUUCAUGCAAUUGCUUAGGCAAGCCAUAGGAUCACCAAGGGGUUUAGCCAUAAGCACCGAUGCCAGGCAGGCGGUGAUGACAAGGGUAAAGGAAGUUUCCCCAGAAGUAGAACAAAGGGAAUGCAUGUUUCACUUGGUGUCAAACUUCAAGAAAAAGUAUCACGAAAAGGUAUUUGAUGACCAUCUUUGGGCUGCUGCUUACUCAUGGAACACAUAUAUAUUUGAGAAAAAUUGGGUUGCAAUGGAAACAGCAAAGCCAGCAGCAACUGCAUAUCUUAGGAAGUGGCACACUAGGUUGUGGACUAGGAGUCAGUUCUCAACCAUUUGUAAGGUGGACUAUGUAACCAACAACCUGGAAGAGUGCUUCAAUAAUUGGAUUAAGCACCACAAGUCUUUGAACUUGGACGACUAAUAGACAAGCUUAGGCAGAUGAUUAUGAUCAUGUGGAAUCACCGGAGAAAAGUAGCAAAGAAGUUAGUUGUCUUAAUUUUGCCCCACAUAAUUAAGAAGUUGAAUGCAAAGAGUAGAGAGUUGAACUUGGAGGUGGUAGAAAGCUCGGAAGAAGUUGCUGAAGUUACUCAAUUGGGAGGCAGUGGGUUUAGGUUUGUCGUCAACUUGCAUGACAUCAGAUGCUCUUGUAGACAAUGGAAGUUUCUGGCCUUCCUUGCAAACAUGCUCUAGCAUUCAUCACAUCACUUUUCAAUGCACAUAUACAGAAUGACGUGGACUCGUAUUACUCCAUUGACAAGUUUAGAGCAGCUUAUGGCCAACUAAUCCCUGCUAUAUGUGACAAGACCCAGUGGCCUAAAUCUAACCAUGGAUUCUUCAUGCAUCCACCCUUGUUAAAAGCUGUUGUUGGUCGGCCCCAAACAGAGAGGCAUAAGGGUUGUAGUGAGAAAAAGAGGAAAAGUGGCCAACAGUUAUGCCCUAUUUGUAAGGAAUACAGGCACCAUUGGCACAAGUGCAAGAAGGGGAACAAAGAUGACAUUGCUGCUUUGAUGGAGUUGAGGGAACCACCAAAGAAGAGGAGGAAGACUACCAAAUCAGCCGAGUCAUCCAUUGUGCCAAGAGGUGAUGAAGCACCGGCAACCGCUAUGUAUUUUCCACCAAGG